GAUGAACGCUGGCGGCGUGCCUAAUACAUGCGAGUCGAGCGAACAGACGAGGAGCUUGCUUCUCUGACGUUAGCGGCGGACGGGUGAGUAACACGUGGAUAACCUACCUAUAAGACUGGGAUAACUUCGGGAAACCGGAGCUAAUACCGGAUAAUAUAUUGAACCGCAUGGUUCAAUAGUGAAAGACGGUCUUGCUGUCACUUAUAGAUGGAUCCGCGCCGCAUUAGCUAGUUGGUAAGGUAACGGCUUACCAAGGCAACGAUGCGUAGCCGACCUGAGAGGGUGAUCGGCCACACUGGAACUGAGACACGGUCCAGACUCCUACGGGAGGCAGCAGUAGGGAAUCUUCCGCAAUGGGCGAAAGCCUGACGGAGCAACGCCGCGUGAGUGAUGAAGGUCUUCGGAUCGUAAAACUCUGUUAUUAGGGAAGAACAAAUGUGUAAGUAACUGUGCACGUCUUGACGGUACCUAAUCAGAAAGCCACGGCUAACUACGUG
rnacentral:rRNA from 1 species